UCUGACUGAAGCUUCCGGGUGAUAGGCUUCUGUAUUUUAGAGGGGGCUCAAGAGGAGGAGAAACAUAUUCACUGUAUCCUGUGCAAUUGACAUUGUUCUGUUUAUAGUUAAGCCAGUGAUCAGCACAGAGACGGCAGAAAAUUCUUGAAAGAAUGAUGAAAUUAUAAUCAUCCUUGGACUCACCAUUGGGAUACUUAUAACACUUUUACUUUAAAACUCUCUCGUGGGAAAUAAGAAUGCAAAAGGAAGAUUAGGCUGAGCUAACAUCUGCCACCAAUCUUCGUCUUUUUGCUGAGGAAGACUGGCCCUGAGCUAACAUCAGUGCCCAUCUUCCUCUACUUUAUAUGUGGGACGCCUGCCACAGCAUGGCUUGACAAACAGUGCAGAGGUCUGUACCCAGGAUCUGAA
rnacentral:lncRNA from 1 species